GAUGAACGCUGGCGGCGUGCCUAAUACAUGCAAGUCGAGCGAACAGACGAGGAGCUUGCUCCUCUGACGUUAGCGGCGGACGGGUGAGUAACACGUGGAUAACCUACCUAUAAGACUGGGAUAACUUCGGGAAACCGGAGCUAAUACCGGAUAAUAUAUUGAACCGCAUGGUUCAAUAGUGAAAGACGGUUUUGCUGUCACUUAUAGAUGGAUCCGCGCCGCAUUAGCUAGUUGGUAAGGUAACGGCUUACCAAGGCAACGAUGCGUAGCCGACCUGAGAGGGUGAUCGGCCACACUGAAACUGAGACCGGGUCCAGACCCCUAGGGGGGGCAGCAGUGGGGAAUUUUCCGCAAGGGGCGAAAGCCUGAGGGAGCAACGCCGGGGGAGUGAUGAAGGUUUUCGGAUCGAAAACCUUUGUUAUGAGGGAAAAAAAAAUGUGAAAGUAACUAUGCACGUUUUGACGGUACCUAAGCAGAAAGCCACGGCAAACUACGU
rnacentral:rRNA from 1 species